rnacentral:rRNA from 1 species
UCCUGGUGGCGAGUGGCGAACGGGUGAGUAAUAUAUCGGAACGUGCCCAGUCGUGGGGGAUAACGUAGCGAAAGCUACGCUAAUACCGCAUACGAUCUAUGGAUGAAAGCGGGGGAUCGCAAGACCUCGCGCGAUUGGAGCGGCCGAUAUCAGAUUAGGUAGUUGGUGAGGUAAUGGCUCACCAAGGCGACGAUCCGUAACUGGUCUGAGAGGAUGAUCAGUCACACUGGAACUGAGACACGGUCCAGACUCCUACGGGAGGCAGCAGUGGGGAAUAUUGGACAAUGGGCGAAAGCCUGAUCCAGCAAUGCCGCGUGAGUGAUGAAGGCCUUAGGGUUGUAAAGCUCUUUUACCCGAGAUGAUAAUGACAGUAUCGGGAGAAUAAGCUCCGGCUAACUCCGUG